rnacentral:rRNA from 1 species
AUUGAACGCUGGCGGCAGGCCUAACACAUGCAAGUCGAACGAGUGGCAGACGGGUGAGUAAUGUCUGGGAAAUUGCCCGUUGGCGGGGGAUAACUACUGGAAACGGAAGCUAAUCCCGCAUACCAUCAGAUGUGCCCAGAUGGGAGUAGCAUUUGGGUGGGGUAACGGCUCACCAAGGCGACGAUCCCUAGCUGGUCCGAGAGGAUGACCUGCAACACGGGAACUGAGACACGGCCCAGACGCCUACGGGAGGCAGCAGUGGGGAAUAUUGCACAAUGGGGGAAAGCCUGAUACAGCCCUGCCGGGGGGAUGAAGAAGGCCUUCGGGUGGUAAACUACUUUCAGCGAGGAGGCGUUAACCGCACAAGAAGCACCGGCUAACUCCGUGCCAGCAGCCGCGGUAAUAC